AGCAAAAUGAUGAGGAACUGUUAGCUGAAUUUGUAUGUAGAAGAUGCAUAUCAUAAGCCUUCAAAGUUCUCUGAUUGCA
rfam:Capsicum annuum cultivar Zunla-1 chromosome 11, whole genome shotgun sequence